rnacentral:rRNA from 1 species
AGGGUUUUACUGUCUCUUACUUCCAAUCAGUGAAAUUGACCUUCCCGUGAAGAGGCGGGAAUAAACAAAUAAGACGAGAAGACCCUAUGGAGCUUUAACUAACUAGUUCAAAGAAAAGAAACUUAACCACCAAGGGAUAAUACUAUUCUUCAUGAGCUAACAGUUUUGGUUGGGGUGACCUCGGAGAACAAAAAAUCCUCCGAGCGAUUUUAAAAAUAAGACACACAAGUCAAAUUGAACUAUCGCUUAUUGAUCCAAAAUUUGAUCAACGGAACAAGUUACCCUAGGGAUAACAGCGCAAUCCUAUUCAAGAGUUCAUAUCGACAAUAGGGUUUACGACCUCGAUGUUGGAUCAGGACACCCCGAUGGUGCAACCGCUAUCAAAGGUUCGUUUGUUCAACGAUUAAAGUCCUACGUGAUCUG